rnacentral:rRNA from 1 species
GAUGAACGCUAGCGGCAGGCUUAAUACAUGCAAGUCGAGGGGCAGCAUGAAUGUAGCAAUACAUUUGAUGGCGACCGGCAAACGGGUGCGGAACACGUACACAACCUUCCUAUAAGUGGGGAAUAGCCCAGAGAAAUUUGGAUUAAUACCCCGUAACAUAAUGAUGUGGCAUCACAUUAUUAUUAUAGCUACGGCGCUUAUUGAUGGGUGUGCGGCUGAUUAGAUAGUUGGCGGGGUAACGGCCCACCAAGUCUACGAUCAGUAGCUGAUGUGAGGGCAGGAUCAGCCACACGGGAACUGAGACACGGGCCCGACUCCUACGGGAGGCAGCAGUAAGGAAUAUUGGUCAAUGGCCGCAAGUCUGAACCAGCCAUGCCGCGUGAAGGAUUAAGGUCCUCUGGAUUGUAACCUUCUUUUAUCUGGGACGAAAAAAGGCGAUUCUUCGUCACUUGACGGUACCAGAUGAAUAAGCACCGGCUAACUCCGUGCCAGCAGCCGCCGUAACAC